rnacentral:rRNA from 1 species
ACGGAAGGCAGCAGUGAGGAAUAUUGGUCAAUGGGCGAGAGCCUGAACCAGCCAAGUCGCGUGAGGGAAGACGGCCCUAUGGGUUGUAAACCUCUUUUGCGCGGGAAUAAAGAGCCCCAUGCGUGGGGUGUUGCAUGUACCGCGCGAAUAAGGAUCGGCUAACUCCGUGCCAGCAGCCGCGGUAAUACGGAGGAUCCGAGUGUUAUCCGGAUUUAUUGGGUUUAAAGGGUGCGUAGGCGGGACGUCAAGUCAGUGGUGAAAUGGUGCGGCUCAACCGUAGCAUUGCCGUUGAAACUGGGGUUCUUGAGUGCGAAUGAGGUGGGCGGAAUGUGUCAUGUAGCGGUGAAAUGCAUAGAUAUGACACAGAACACCGAUUGCGAAGGCAGCUCACUGGGACGCAACUGACGCUGAGGCACGAAAGUGCGGGGAUCGAACAGGAUUAGAUACCCUGGUA